GCUUAACACAUGCAAGUCGAGGGGUAUAGUUCUUCGGAACUAGAGACCGGCGCACGGGUGCGGUAACGCGUAUGCAAAUCUACCUUAUACAGGGGAAUAGCCCAGAGAAAUUUGGAUUAAUGCCCCAUAGUAUUACGGAAACGGGCAUCGUUUUGUGAUUAAAGUUCCAACGGUAUAAGAUGAGCAUGCGUCCCAUUAGUUAGUUGGUAAGGUAACGGCUUACCAAGGCGAUGAUGGGUAGGGGUCCUGAGAGGGAGAUCCCCCACACUGGUACUGAGACACGGACCAGACUCCUACGGGAGGCAGCAGUGAGGAAUAUUGGUCAAUGGGCGCAAGCCUGAACCAGCCAUGCCGCGUGCAGGAAGAAUCAUCUAUGGUGUGUAAACUGCUUUUAUACAGGAAGAAACCUCCCUACGAGUAGGGACUUGACGGUACUGUAGGAAUAAGGAUCGGCUAACUCCGUGCCAGCAGCCGCGGUAAUAC
rnacentral:rRNA from 1 species